rnacentral:lncRNA from 1 species
GGGGGGGGGGCGCUACGCGGCCGACGCGCAUGCGCGUGCGGGACCCGGAUUGCGCCCCCCGGGCGGAGCUGAGGGGAUGGCAGAGGAGGGGGCGGCGGGACGGGACGGAGUGGGAUGGGGGCAUGGAUGGGGGGUCGGGAUGGGGUAUGGGUGGGUAUGGGGUGGUGUGCUGUAGGUUGGGGUAUGGGGUGAGGGUGGGAGGGGGAUGGGAUGGGGAUGAUUCAGGUUUGGGAUGCGUAUGGGAUGGGUAUGGGAUUGAUAUGGGAUGGGUAUGGUGUAGGUAUGAUAUAGGUAUGGAAUGGGUAUGGUAUAGGUUUGGGAUGAGUACGGUAUGGGUAUAGGAGGGGUAUGGGAUGGGUACGGUAUGGGUACGGUAUGGGUACGGUAUGGGUACGGUAUGGGUAUGGGAUGGGUAUGGGAUGGGUAUGGGAUGCAUACGGUAUAGGUUUGGGAUGGGUAUGGUAUAGAUAUAGCAUGGGUACGGUAUAGGCAUGGUGUGGGUACGGUAUAGACAUGGGGUGGGUAUGGGAUGAGUAUGGGAUGGGAAUGGUAUAGGUUUGGGAUGAAUAUGAUAUAGGCAUGGGAAGGGUAUGGUAUAGGUUUGGGAUGGGUAUUGGUUGGGUGUGGGAUGGGAAUGGGAUGGAUAUGGGAUGGGAAUGGUAUAGGUUUGGGAUUGGUAUGGUAUAGGCAUGGUGUGGGUAUGGGAUCGAUAUGGAAUGGGUAUGGUAUAGGUAUGGGAUGGUUAUGGGAUGGAUAUAUUAUAGUUAUGGGAUGGGUAUAGGAUGCGUAUGGUAUAGGUAUAUAAUGGCUGUGGUAUAGGUAUGGUAUAGGUAAGGGCAUGGCAUGAGUACAGUAUGGGGGGGGCACGGUGUAGGUUGGGGAAUGGAAUAGGUAAUGUAUGGGAUGGGUAUGGUGUAGGUAUGGGAUGGGUAUGGUGUAGGUAUGGGUAUGGGAUGGGUAUGGUGUAGGUAUGGGGAUGGGAUGGGUAUGGUGUAGGGAUGGGAUGGGAUGGGUAUGGUGAUGGGAUGGGUAUGGUGUAGGUAUGGGUACGGGGUGGGUAUGAUGUAGGUAUAGGAUGGGAUGGGUAUGGUGUAGGUAUGGGUACGGGGUGGUGUAGGAAUGGUGAGGUGGGGGCAUGGUGAGGGUGGGGGGGUCACAGCACAGGGUGGGCACUGCAAUGGCGCAGGUCCGGGAUUUGAUGCCGAACUGCUGUCGGCUCCUCAGUGCGGUGGGGGGGGGACUUCAGCUCAUCCCAGCGCGGCGUUCCGUCCCUCCUUCACCGCCAUCCGCGCUGUUGUGCACCGCUCCGAAAAGCCCCCACCGAACCGGGGGGUGGGGGGGGGGUUCAGGAUGGCCCACCCUCCACGACUCCUCCAUCACUUUCUGCAUCUGCGCCCCCCCCCGACAGCCACGGCUGCAGGGAUGGUGUCACAGCUCUGACAUCAGAGCCAAACCGUGACGUCACUCCCCAUCCCGUGACCACCCCCCACCCCCCCCAUCCCGG